AACGAACGCUGGCGGCAUGCCUAACACAUGCAAGUCGAACGAAGUCUUCGGACUUAGUGGCGCACGGGUGCGUAACGCGUGGGAAUCUGCCCUUGGGUGCGGAAUAACUUCUCGAAAGGGAUGCUAAUACCGCAUAAUGUCGUAAGACCAAAGAUUUAUCGCCCAAGGAUGAGCCCGCGUAAGAUUAGCUAGUUGGUGGGGUAAAAGCCUACCAAGGCGACGAUCUUUAGCUGGUCUGAGAGGAUGAUCAGCCACACUGGGACUGAGACACGGCCCAGACUCCUACGGGAGGCAGCAGUGGGGAAUAUUGGACAAUGGGCGAAAGCCUGAUCCAGCAAUGCCGCGUGAGUGAUGAAGGCCCUAGGGUUGUAAAGCUCUUUUACCCGAGAUGAUAAUGACAGUAGUCGGGAGAAUAAGCUCCGGCUAACUCCGUGCCAGCAGCCG
rnacentral:rRNA from 1 species